GAAACGCGAUAUUUAGUGCGAAUUGCAGAAUUCAGUGAAUCAUCAAAACUUUGAACGCAAGUUGCGCUCUUGGGAUAUUCCUGGGAGCAUGCCUCUUUCAGUGUCGGCAACCCAUCCAACUAUCAAUAGUUGGGACAUGUGUGUUUUUCGAGUGGAAUCACAUUGAGCUGAACGCUUGGUACGUUUGUCGAGUUGAGCCAGUGUGGUGAAUGGAGACAGCUUGUUUGUCAAUGUAAACUGCACCAGAUUCAAUUCGAUGGACGAGUCAUACCGGGUAUGCAGUACGCCCUCAAAAAGUGUACAACGCCUGAACAUAGACCUGAGAGAGGUAAGAUUACCCGCUUGACUUAA
rnacentral:misc_RNA from 1 species